rnacentral:rRNA from 1 species
UACGUAGGGACCAAGCGUUGUUCGGAUUUACUGGGCGUAAAGGGCGCGUAGGCGGCGUGGUAAGUCACUUGUGAAAUCUCUGAGCUUAACUCAGAACGGCCAAGUGAUACUGCUGUGCUAGAGUGCAGAAGGGGCAAUCGGAAUUCUUGGUGUAGCGGUGAAAUGCGUAGAUAUCGGGAGGAACACCUGAGGCGAAGGCGGGCUACUGGGCCGAUACUGACGCUGAUGCGCGAAAGCCAGGGGAGCGAACGGG